rnacentral:rRNA from 1 species
GAUGAACGCUGGCGGCGUGCCUAAUACAUGCAAGUCGAGCGAACGGACGAGAAGCUUGCUUCUCUGAUGUUAGCGGCGGACGGGUGAGUAACACGUGGAUAACCUACCUAUAAGACUGGGAUAACUUCGGGAAACCGUAGCUAAUACCGGAUAAUAUUUUGAACCGCAUGGUUCAAAAGUGAAAGACGGUCUUGCUGUCACUUAUAGAUGGAUCCGCGCUGCAUUAGCUAGUUGGUAAGGUAACGGCUUACCAAGGCAACGAUGCAUAGCCGACCUGAGAGGGUGAUCGGCCACCCUGGAACUGAGACACGGUCCAGACUCCUACGGGAGGCAUCAGUCGGGAAUCUUCCGCAAUGGGCGAAAGCCUGACGGAGCAACGCCGCGUGAGUGAUGAAGGUCUUCGGAUCGUAAAACUCUGUUAUUAGGGAAGAACAUAUGUGUAAGUAACUGUGCACAUCUUGACGGUACCUAAUCAGAAAGCCACGGCUAACUACGUG